AGAAAAUUCCUAGAUAUUGCACAUUUUCAAUUGAAAAAUAAAAAAUAACACCUAUAGCAAAGAAUGAUCGAUGCAUUUACGUCGGUCUCUGCUGUUGUAGCAGUUAUCUAGUUUCUUCUUUCACCACCUGAAAUCAAGAGAGGAGUGGCGGCAUCAUUACAGUGAGGAUGAAUUAAAGAAGAACACGAUGGGAUAGAUCGAAUUGUUUGCUGUUGAAAUUGAGAAGAAGAUGGUGCUGCUUUGAUACAGCUGCUGUGGAGUAAUUAGAGAUGGGUUCGGUGAAUCCAAGUUUAGAACAGAGAAAAUCAGAUUGAAUCUGAGAUGAAGAAGAAUUGUUAGACGGGUUUAUUGUAAUUUGAGGUUGAGGUCGAGCUGCUGUCAUUACAGGAUUAAGAAUCAGAGAGUGGUUCUAAUGGCUAGGGUUUGAAAGAUGAGAAGACAAGAAAGAAAUUGGGUUCGAUUAAUGAAGUUCUGAGAAGAAGCUGAGAAGAUUACAAGGGUUUCGAGUUCUGACGCCGUUAAUUGAAGAUGAUGGUUGAGUUCACAAAGAUUAGGUAUGAAUCUGGUGAAUCAGGGAGGAAGAACUCAAGUUGUUUGUAUCGAUGGUUGAAGUCAAGACAAGAAAUUAUGAAGUUCAGUGAGAUCUGAAGGCAGAGAUGAUUGAGCUCAUGGUGGUUCUGAUGGGUAUAACAGUUCAGAUUCAAAGGAAGGCUGAGCAAGGAAAUAGAGCAGACAGAAGAGAUGUUGGUUCAACUGGAAGCAACAGGAUUGUGGUUUGCAGGUUAUUGAACUGAUGCAGGUGAUGAUGUUGAGUUUAGUGAGAUGAGCAAAUGAAGUACAGGUUGGCUGUGUUGAGCUAUUGGAGCUGGUAAAGCUAGAGAGGGAGGAAAUGAUGUUGAAAUUGGUACUGAGAAGAACAUGGAAGAAGAGAAAAUAGAUGGGAAUGUGUUAAUGUUGUGUGUUGUUGGCUGGAGGUUGUGCACAUGAGUCAGGUGGUUGAGAAGAUGGAUUAUGCAGUUGAGAGUUAGCAGGUGGAUUUAGUGACUUUCAUGGGUAUGAGUAGCUGGUUGUGCUGAAGCUGUUGCUAUAUUGUGAAGUUGCAGUGAGGCCAUGGAAGAUAACAAAUCUAAAUUGGAUUAGAUGGCUCAAAGGGUGUUGAUGCUGCACUGUUAGCAGUGCAGUUCAAGUUGUUAAUGGCGGUGAUGUACUGGAACUGAAGGUGCAUCUACAGUUAAUACAUUGGUAUAAGGUUGAAGUCUGGAGAUGCAGUUCAAGUUGUUGGUGGAAUGAAUCUGUAGUUAGUAGGGUCCGAGUCCGAGAACUCAGUAUUGCAGGUUAGAUGUUUGUGUAGGAUUGUUGGGUUGCUUAUGAAUUUGAGAGUGCAGGCAAGAGUGUACUAGUGUUGAACUGGUGAAUGCAGCUCAGAUGUAUGCUGAGAAGCUUGUUCUUGAGCUAUAUUGCAGAGAGAAUGGAGCAGUGAAUGAUGAAUGAGCUGUUGUGGCAGUCACUGAAAUUGGUUGGCUGAGAAGGCGAAGUUAGUGCCAUUGAUGUUGAUUGCCUGGGGAUUGUGUUGCAGUUUGUUGUGAUGCUGCAGUUGCAGUUAGUGCUGCAAUGACCAAAAGGGGUGAAGGCAAUGGCUAGGUAAUGGUACUCAGCUGACGUAAAUGGUGUUGAUCGGUGAUGGCAUAUUGCAAAACGUUGCAGUUGAGCUAGUGUGCAGUUGAAAUUACAAGCAAAUAUGAGAUGAAGCUGAUGGAAUGGAUGCAGACAAGAAAAUGGAAAUUGCAGGAUGAAUAGCCAACAUGGCUGGAAAUGAAAUUUGUGAAGCCUUGGCCUUGGCUAUUCAAUUCAGACUAGUCAGAUUAUGCAAUUAGCUGACUCGGUAUUGAUUCAGACUCUGACUCAUGCUUUGACUCUGUCGGCUUGACUCAGUUGACCCGACCGAGUUGAUUCAUUUGACCGGUGACCGGGUGGACUUCGCCGGUCACCUGAGCACUUCUCCGGCUAAGUUCCGACGCUAGCACCAGUUUCCGGCGAGAUAUUUGUGGCAAAUUUUUACAUGGGUAUUUCUUUUAUGUGGGCUUGGUGGACAUCUUGUUAUUGGACUUUGGGCUUUGAAGAUCUAAUUUUGGAAAGAUGAAAAGCUACAAAAGGAGAAAGUUUCUACUUUCUUUAGAUAUCGCGUAUUUUUCUACUUGAAGUUUUGGAGAGCGGCGAUUAGGGUUUGCUUUCAUUUAUUUUUCAUCUUCUUCAUUUCAUCUUCUAUUGUUGAGGGCCCCUCUUCGACCAAGCGAAAAUCCGUUUGCCCGGAUGGGGACAGUCCCCAAGCGAAGGAGCGAAGGUCUAAAAGUCGUGCAGAUGUUCCCAGUCGGAUUCGACGACUCUUCCGACUUUCAGUUCUUUUAAUAUGCGAGGUCUCAGCAGCGUGAACGCCUUUACCAAACUUGGAAGUAGUCAGAAAACAACGUUUCUUGAGACGGAGGGCGGUGAUGUCGAACCUAUCCGUGGUGAAGGGGAAUCCGAGAAGGAAGAAAGUUCGGAGUCCAGUAACGGCGAGAAUAGUUCUUCUGACAGUAGUGUUGAGUCUUCCUCCUGUGGGUCCGAAAGUGAAUCAGUGAGUCUUCCAUCUGUUUUUUUUUUUUUGAAGUAAAACCAAAAUCUUGAUAUCCCAGGAGAAAACCGUUCUCGAGGUUGGCCUUGAAGUAGAAACUCGCCACGGUGAAGAAGUGAUCGUACCUUCAACUACAGAAACCGCGCCGGCUGGCGACUUGGACAUUGAAGUUGAUCAUCCCGAAGACGUUGCCGCGACUCGAGUGGCUGAGAGUACUCCAGUGACUGCUGGCGCAAUUGUAGUUAGAAAUCCCUUGCUGGUUGCUGAUUCAGUUACGGGUGCCACCUUUGUUCCUCCAUACCUGGUUCCCUAUCCAUAUCAUGUGCUGGUCGGUGGCUUCAGCGUGAGCCAAAUACGAGACGCUAUAUAUCAAGAUAUCGGAAAGGUAUGGACACAUCGCAGCAACCAAAAAGGUCACUAGUAGGUUCGCGCUGGUCAAGCGUGUGGAGGAAGCUUUAUCUUCGAUUGACGACAUGUGCAAAGUGACUGGCCAUACCGUUUCUGAGGACGUGGCCUCAAGCUGGAAGUUCCAUCGUGACGUAUGCGUGGACCACGGGUUCAACGUUUCCUGGUUUGUUGAAGGUUUCUCUAAGAUCGAAAAGUUGCAUACCAUGGCGGUUGAAGGCAUUUCCAUGGAUGAGGUCGCACAGCAGGA